GAGGAGGAGGAGGAGGAAGAAGAAGAAGAAAACCACGUGACCAGAGAGUCGAAGAACAACGCGAACAAAUCCUUAGAAAGAGAGAGAAAAAAAGAGUGAGAGAGAGAGAAAGAGAGAGAGAGAGAGAGAGAGAGAGAGUAAAAAAAAAGAGAGAUAAGAGAGAGAAAGAAAGAAAGAAAGAAAGAGAGCUAGCUUCGUAUUCUCCAGACGACGAGAAGAGCUCACAGCUGGCAAGAAGGAUUAGAGGAAGAGUUACUGUGAGAUCAAAGGAAGAAAAGAGAAGGAGAAGGAUAAUCUAGUGAUAUAUGUACGAUCGAUAAAAAAAAGAAACCGUCAGUAAUACGUACGUACGGAUCUUUGAUCGAUCGAUCGAUCGAUCGAUCGGUCGGUCUAUUGGUAACACGAACAAUGUGUUUUGUGUGUUGAUUGUUAUAUCGUUGUUUAUUGGUUACGUGCGUGGUUUAAAGAGAUACUGUGCGUGCGGUGUGUGUGUGUGUGUGUGUGUGUGUGUGUGUGUCUGUGGUAUGACACGUUGAAGAAGCACAGCGAAUACAGUGAUUGGAGUGAUAUGAUCCGAGUAUUUGUGAAAAUGAAUGUAUUUAAAGGAUUAAAAAUAGGAUAGAAAACAGUUUAUAUAUAUAUAUAUAUAUAUACACACACACAAGCGACGUACACGUACACGUAUCACACACAUACACGCAUACACACGUGUAUAUAUUUAUACGUAAAUCUCUAACAUCAUCGCGUCCUCUAUUAGUGUUUUUAUUAUUGUUGUUAUAAUAAUAAUAAUAAUAGUAUUGUUAUUAACGAGAAAGAGAUCCCUCUCUCUCUCUCUCUCUCUCUUUCUUUCAUACAUGUACACAUAUACACACACGUAUAUACUUCUUACAAACUUCAUCCUCACGAGAUCGUAUAUCAGAGUCUGAAGAGAGAUCGAAAUGGGAGUGGUACUGAUGCUGCUGCUGUUGCUGGUGCGCGGAUUCGUUCGAGGUUAACCGAUCACUCGGUGCCUUCUCGCGCCUGGCUGCUACUCUCGAGUGGAUCCUCUCGAAGGGUAAUUAGUCGUUGGACGUACGAGAAGAGCUACUACUCCCCUUCUGCAUCGUCACAUGUCCUUCUUUAUCGUCAUGCUGACCUUCACGUUGUUGUUACUCUUCCUGCUACUUGGCCGUCCGGUCGCCCGUGCGGAUAACUUGGCCCUGUUGGCAGGCACCCUGAAGACCUAUCAGCGUGCAGCCUGCGACGAGGAAACGAUGACGCUCAAGUGUCCACCCGGCACGACGAUAUCAGUCGCGCUCGCACGCUAUGGGAGAGCUGUUGCGAAUGGACCAGGAAGAUGCGGCAUCUCUUCCGACGUUUCAUCUAAUUUUGCUAUCGAUCAUCAUCAACAAACCAACGACACGUGCUUAUUGCCAGACUCUUUACAGUACUCACUGUUGCAGACGGUCGUCGAGAUGUGUCAGAAGAAGAGGCAGUGUAAAUUCAACACGAAUCCGAAGACUUUCCAAGGAGAUCCGUGUCCUGGUCUUCCAAAGUACGUCGAGGUCGCUUACAAGUGCAGUCCUUACGAAUUCAGGAGUAAGGUGGUUUGCGAGAACGACGUUAUUAAUCUCACCUGUCACCCCGGACAGAGAGUGGCCAUUUUCCGUGCGUCCUUCGGCAGACUGGAGUACGAGUCCCUUCAGUGUCCACAACCUCACGGACUGAAAAACGAUACCUGUAUGGCGACGUACGCGACAGAGACAGUAAUGCAAAUGUGCCAUGGCAAACGACAUUGUUCCAUCGUGGCGAACAGCACGACGUUUAACGACCCUUGCAGACCGGACAUCAGGACGUAUCUCACGGUCGUUUAUACCUGUGUACCACGUUCGGUCUUGAGGGAGCAGUAUCAGGGCGAUCUAGAAUCGGACGAGAUGAAUCUAACGCAUAGGAUCGACGAGGGCUUCGACAGAGUCGAUUUCAGAGCGGAAUUCAGUCCAAGUCCAAAUCUCGAAGGACCACAGCCUCAACCAAGGGACAACGUUUCGCGAAAUUUCCCGACGGUCAGUUCAUCGCCACCACGUGCAAGGACCAACAACGACGUGGACAACGCGUUGAACAAAUUAGGCUCGGUUGGUAAAGAGGCGAAAGGUACCAAAGAAAAAGACUUGUCCUUAUCGGCCGUGGUAACCACGGGAAUGAUAUUUGGCGGCAACAGGGGUGGUAAUAGUAGUGCCCUACCUACGACGGUAUCACCGUCUAACUGCACGACGGUCGUCUACGCGGUUCCCGACGAGGAUCGUAUGGUUGUCGGAUAUCUCAAUGAAUGGAUCAAUGCCUACUCGUUCAUAUCAAACAAUCAAGAGAAAUUUUAUCUCUACAUCAUCGUAUCGGUCACUGGUGGCAUCCUCGUAUUUUUGGGCUUGGUGAUCGGCAGACUUCUUUUGAGUCGUCAUCGCGCGAAACGAGAUGCUAAGUUCCAUGCAAAUAACGAGGCACUUCCAAAUGCAUUUACGGACAACAUCUCCGAGGUCGACGCGAACAUCGAUCUCACUACUCCGGUUCCGGUCCCGAUGCAGGACACCAGAAUACCGGAGACCCAAUUGGCCGAGAGACUUCACGGUGAGCGUUAUUACACCGAUACGAGGAUACCAUUGUCACCUAGCAGCAUUCACACUGCCCCAAGUCAUCAUGCAACGAGCACGGGUGUCAGGGUCGAUCUGGGUAACCACAUGGUGGGCACGGAUAGCCUUCACACGAUCUUACGCGCAGAAAAUCCACGAAGCCUCAACACCAAAAGCUACUACUACGGCUGACACGAGGAAGGGGUUGUCCCCCGCGAGGGACGACCCCCGUCCUUGAGUCCCGUGCCGGAAAAUGGAGUUUAUGCGAAAGCAUCGUAGGAAGAAUCGUUUGAAUAGGAAGCACGAAGAACGUAUCAAUGCGUUUCCCUUGAGUAUCGAAACGAAAAGAUGGAAAAAUCGAUAAAGUCGUUUCACCUUCUUCCCCGACUAACACGCAACAACUGCUUCUGUACCUUUGAUGAAACUCGAUUUAUACGUAUGCACUGAAAACGAUAUAUCCUAUCGUGAGUUCGAAUUUCAGAAGAAGGAAUUCGAAAAUAUCCGAGUAACGAGAUCGCACAUACAUAUAUAGAUACAUACUUACAUACAUACAUACAUAGACAUUCAUACAUAGACGAUCUUCACGAGAAUCAUCGAACUAAGUUAUACUUCUCGCUGAAACUUCCUAAUAAUUGCGAAUCGAUCGAAGCCAGACCAGACACAAGGAUUAAUACUCGAAGAAAAAGUGGUCCAAUCAAAAGCAGAGAUAGAUAGAGAGAGAGAGAGAGGGAGAGAGAGAGAGAGAGAGAGAGGGAGAGAGAGAGAGAGAGAGAAAGAGGGAGAGGGAGAGAGAGAAGUCAAGCUCGAGGAUUUCGACGAGAUUACAGCGGUCUUGUGUAAUGAGACUUUCUUACACCGUUUCUCACAGCUACCGUGUCGCGAGAUGACUUUUAUAAUAGAAAAUAAUGUAAUAUGUAUAUCACGUUGUAAAUACGAUCGUGUAAUUUACGAUUAUCUCUUAAGGGAGUUACGUAUUAACGGACGGACCAUAGUUACAAAUAUAUUCUCCGUACCAUCGAAAUCGAUUUUCUAAAGAAAUGCGCCGCGAUUACUAUAAUACUAGUUUUCGCGAUCAUAAAAAUGAAUAUAAAGGAAUAAAAGAAUAAAAGAAAAGAAAAGAAAUGAAAAGAACAGAAAAAAGAAAAUUAAUAAGUAAAUAAAUAAAUAAAUAAAUAAAUAAAUAAGUAAAUAAAUGAAGAAAUAAAUUAAUAAAUAAAUAAAUAAAUAAAUAAAUACGGUUUAUUGAUAGAGAUUAAAUAAAAUAUGCUCGUUAACUCGUAUAGCUGUCGUCCGUAUCUUGUUCGAGAUAAAAGAGAAUAAUAGAACGCGUUUCCAAGAACACGACGAUCAUCGAGUCUCUCGAAUCGAGUCCUGAAUCGACUUCUUUUUAAAACUUCUACGUUAAGAUCCCUAUCGCGAAAAGAUACGAAGGUUCUGUCUUGAGCUCACGAACCUCGAUAUCGAACGACGAUUUUUAUUAUGAUCAUAAUAAUAAUUUCCCUUACGCUUUUAUACGUGAACGCUCGCGAGUCCUGUCGUAACUUUUAUCGACAUUAUGUAAUCGCAUCAAGGUUAAAUCGAUAGAAAUACCUCUCUCCUUUAUUUCUAACCCAAAAAUGACGGUAUUUUUGCGUCGUCGUCGUCGUCGUCGUAAUCGUCCUCGUCGUCGUCGUUGUCGUCGUUGUCGUUGUCGUUCAUUGCUCGAAAAUCUCGAAAAACACGUUCAAGCGUUUAUCGUCACCGAACUCGUAAAAUAAUCGAUUAAUCGAUAUAUAUAUAUAUAUAUAUAUAUAUAUAUAUAUAUAUAUAUAUGUAUAUGUAUAUGUAUAUGUAUAUGGAUAUGUACAUACGUAAAUCCUAUCGAUAUCAUCACUCCCUAUAUCUUCUUCCAAAUUUCAAAGAAUAUUUCAUGAUAAUAGAAAUAUUUCAAAUUACAUCAGAGAAGAAAUAUAGGGGUUGACAGUGCCAUCUUGAUUAGAAACCACGUCGGAAUAAUCCGUCAGGCUACUGUUUUUAAUUGGCCCGGACUAAUUAAGACGCUGCUCGGGUCGCGUCUACCGCGCUAGUCGCGAAAAAGAGAAUUUUAAUUGCCAGUAGAACACCGUUACUUCUUCUUCUUUCCUUCCACUUCUUCCAUUCGCUUCUUUUUUCUCGACUCUAUUUUCCUUUUCUCUGUUUAUCUCUCUCUCUCUCUCUCUCUCUCUCUCUCUCUCUCUCUCUCUCUCUCUCUCUCUCUCUCUCUCUCUCUCUCUCUCUCUCUCUCUCUCUCUCUCUCUCUGUUUCUAUCUCUUUUUUUUUACUCUCACCUACUCUGUUAUUUCUUUGUAUUUUCUUUUUCUUUUGCUCCAUAUCGUUUCCUAUUUGUUUACUCAUGCGUCGUUGAUUCCCAUGCGAUUGUUUUUCUAUCAUAUAUGUUUCUAUAUUUUUAUUAUAUUUCUUCGUUCCAAUAUCUAAAAUAACGUAAGUACUUAUUUAUUUACUUAGACAAUGGUAGCAAUAAUUAGGUAACAUCUAUUCACACGAAUUUUGUGCCUUUUUCGAAGUAUCACAAAAGCAUUCAUUAAAAUUAUUCACCGGUCAACAAGAUUCUUUAUACCGUAUUUCCUUAUACACACAGACAGACACACGCGUGCAUACAUAUACACACGCACAUGUAUAUAUAUAUAUUAUGUACAUAUAUAUGUGUAUAUUGGGUGUUCAAUGUUAAAUCGAUCUAUGCGAAUGUCUCUAGAAAUUAGAAAAUAGUAUCAAUAUCAUCGAUAUACAAUCAUACUUUUCUCUAUAUAAUAAAAUAAGAUAGAUAGACAAAUUAUUGAUACUAUUAACAAUUUCUAUAACAAUCGCACGAUUCGAUUCGAUAUUUCACACCCCUGUACCCAUAUAGUUACUUCUUGAAUAAUGACGAACAUAUGGAUUUUGUGCCUUUUCCGAAGUAUUAUUCUAAAACGAUAUCAUUUCUAAAACUGUUCAUUCAAGAUAAUAUCACGUAUUUUACAGACAUAAACGCGUCAAAAAUGAAAUAGUAAAAAAAAAAAAACGGUAUUGAUUCUUAUUGUCGAUUAAUAUGUUCGAUUGAUUGCUAGAUCGAAAUAUAGGUUGGACACAUGUGUGCAUAUAGGUACUCAUUCUAUCUAUUUAUCUAUCUAUUUGAGUUCUAUCGUUCUUUUACUUUUCCUCGUUUUUCUUCUCCUCUCCUCUUUUCCACGAACGAGAUAUAACAAUGAUAAAACAAAAAUAGGAAGACGAUAAAAAUGAUGAAGAAUAAGAAGAAUAAGAAGAAGAAGCAAAAGAAGAAGAAGAAGAAGAAGAAGAAGAAGAAGAAGAAAAAUAAAAAAGAUGCAUUUCUUGUCGCAUACGAAUGACGAGUUAUCGAGUGCAAAUUGUACCAAAGACCUUCUAUUAAUUAAAAAUAUCAUCGUUCGACGAGGUUCGAGAAAUUGUCUUACGAGUAAUAAUAUCGUAUCGAGGUUGACCUCCUCGAAACGGAGUGCCUGAUAUAUAACAUUCAACGAGAAACAUACGUGAAUGUGGUACGUACACGUAGCCACCUCGAUGACAAUUAAGGUUCGAUUGAUUUCUAUUUUAUUAGAUGAAUUUCUCUCCGAUAACUGUUGUUUUCCAAUUCAUUAUUUGUCCUUCCUUAUUUCGAUCUUGGAAAUGUAUCUGUUAUUUCGAAUACACCAAAAUAUUCAACGAUCGUUCGUAUGUGAUUUCGUUAUUAAUUCUUCAUUUCCUUUAUGUUUUUUUUUUUCUUUUUUUUGUAUUGUUCUCUUAUCAUGGGAUAAUUUUUGUAAGUUGGUAUGGCUCGUGUGUACCACCAUGAUGCUUCGCGUUAUAUCAUACACAGGUUUCUUUCUUAUCUCUUUUUUGUACGGAUAUAAGAAUGUAAGAAUGAAUGGGAUAAGUGAUAAGACGAAUGUGUGCGCGUGUGUGUCUAUUGUGUGGAUAACAACUUUAUUUGUUAGAUCGAUUAAGACCCUUACGGGAAUAAGUAUAUAGGAAGUUAGAUAGAUGGGUAGAUAAUAUUAGUGAUAUGGGAUAUGUGAAAUAGCGACGAUUGAAGUGUGUGUCUGUAAGAGAGAGAUGGAGAGAGAGAGAGAAAGAGAGAGAGGGAGGGAGGGAGAGAGAGAGAGAGAGAGAGAGAGAGAGAGAGAGAAAGAACGAAUGUAUGCGUGUAAAAGAGAAGAAAAUAAAGAUACCUAUGUCGUAAGUGAUAGUUUCUAUUGUAACUAAGAAGACGUACGUUAUUGAGCAUCUGUAAAUAUUCCUGUAUUAUAAAAAUAACUUUCUGUCCAGCGACCGUAUAUCAACGACCUCGACCAUCUUUGAACGUAUCCUUUUUCCUCUAUCUCUCUCUUUCUCUCUCCCUCCCUCUCUCCCUCUCCCUUCCUCUGUAUCUCUCUUUCUGUGUUUCUCUAAUUGUAUACUUUCCAAAAGAAAAAAUCGUCGAGGUUGUCGGAACACGGUUUUUUUCGCGUGUAAAAUAAAAAAAUAAAAAAAAAGAAACGUGCGGCCCGAUUAUUAAUAAUAAUAAUAAUAAUUAUUAUUAUUAUUAUUCUUUCUUAAGCGAUAUUCACAAAUAAUUUGUAUUUCCAUUGAAUCACAUUGUCAUCGUCGUUCGAAAGAAAAAUCGAGGAGAUAUUUCAUUUCCUUCGUCAAAUGAUACGAACGAACGCUUGAUGCGUCGAAGACAAAAAUCCCAUGACCGUGAUUACUUGAUUAUUUAAAAAAAGAAAAAAAACGAACACGAAUAAACAAACAAAAACAAAACGAAGCGGGCCUGUGUGUUGUACGAUAAUGUAAUAACUGUCCUCCACGUGAUUUUCAAGGAUAAUAUAAUAAAUUAUGACACAAUUCGAGCACA